CACGUAGGGUGCGAGCGUUGUCCGGAAUUAUUGGGCGUAAAGAGCUCGUAGGCGGUGUGUCGCGUCGGCCGUGAAAACUCAGGGCUUAACCCUGAGCUUGCAGUGGGUACGGGCAGACUAGAGUGGCGGUAGGGGAGACUGGAAUUCCUGGUGUAGCGGUGAAAUGCGUAGAGUAUCAGGAGGAACACCGGUGGUGCGAGACGG
rnacentral:rRNA from 1 species